rnacentral:rRNA from 1 species
GACGAACGCUGGCGGCGUGCUUAACACAUGCAAGUCGAACGGAAAGGCCCUGCUUUUGUGGGGUGCUCGAGUGGCGAACGGGUGAGUAACACGUGAGUAACCUGCCCUUGACUUUGGGAUAACUUCAGGAAACUGGGGCUAAUACCGGAUAGGAGCUCCUGCUGCAUGGUGGGGGUUGGAAAGUUUCGGCGGUUGGGGAUGGACUCGCGGCUUAUCAGCUUGUUGGUGGGGUAGUGGCUUACCAAGGCUUUGACGGGUAGCCGGCCUGAGAGGGUGACCGGCCACAUUGGGACUGAGAUACGGCCCAGACUCCUACGGGAGGCAGCAGUGGGGAAUAUUGCACAAUGGGCGGAAGCCUGAUGCAGCAACGCCGCGUGCGGGAUGACGGCCUUCGGGUUGUAAACCGCUUUCGCCUGUGACGAAGCGUGAGUGACGGUAAUGGGUAAAGAAGCACCGGCUAACUACGUGCCAGCAGCCGCGGUGAUACGUAGGGUGCGAGCGUUGUCCGGAUUUAUUGGGCGUAAAGGGCUCGUAGGUGGUUGAUCGCGUCGGAAGUGUAAUCUUGGGGCUUAACCCUGAGCGUGCUUUCGAUACGGGUUGACUUGAGGAAGGUAGGGGAGAAUGGAAUUCCUGGUGGAGCGGUGGAAUGCGCAGAUAUCAGGAGGAACACCAGUGGCGAAGGCGGUUCUCUGGGCCUUUCCUGACGCUGAGGAGCGAAAGCGUGGGGAGCGAACAGGCUUAGAUACCCUGGUAGUCCACGCUGUAAACGGUGGGUACUAGGUGUGGGGUCCAUUCCACGGGUUCCGUGCCGUAGCUAACGCUUUAAGUACCCCGCCUGGGGAGUACGGCCGCAAGGCUAAAACUCAAAGGAAUUGACGGGGCCCCGCACAAGCGGCGGAGCAUGCGGAUUAAUUCGAUGCAACGCGUAGAACCUUACCUGGGUUUGACAUGGAUCGGGAGUGCUCAGAGAUGGGUGUGCCUCUUUUGGGGUCGGUUCACAGGUGGUGCAUGGCUGUCGUCAGCUCGUGUCGUGAGAUGUUGGGUUAAGUCCCGCAACGAGCGCAACCCUUGUUCACUGUUGCCAGCACGUUAUGGUGGGGACUCAGUGGAGACCGCCGGGGUCAACUCGGAGGAAGGUGGGGAUGACGUCAAGUCAUCAUGCCCCUUAUGUCCAGGGCUUCACGCAUGCUACAAUGGCUGGUACAGAGAGUGGCGAGCCUGUGAGGGUGAGCGAAUCUCGGAAAGCCGGUCUCAGUUCGGAUUGGGGUCUGCAACUCGACCUCAUGAAGUCGGAGUCGCUAGUAAUCGCAGAUCAGCAACGCUGCGGUGAAUACGUUCCCGGGGCUUGUACACACCGCCCGUCAAGUCAUGAAAGUUGGUAACACCCGAAGCCGGUGGCCUAACCGUUGUGGAGGAGCCGUCGAAGGUGGGACUGG